AAAAAUCAAGGAUGUACAUUAUAAUGGUAAUCAUGGUAAGUGCAAAACAUAAGAUCAAUUCUCAGCUACAAAGGAUAAAGAAUACAGAUUUCACCUCCCUUAGUCUGAACUUAGGAUAGAAAUCCAAAUUGAAGAUGCAGUUAAUGCACCCAAUCAGUUUAUGUAUAUACAUGGUAUGACAGCUUUGAAUAGACACCUCAGUUAAAAACCCAUCUCUCUCUCGUUCUCGCUCUAUCUUGCUCUCUGCUUUUUCUCUCCAACCCCAAAUGGCUGCCAAUGAAGGUCCCAAAUUUGACUAUGAAGUGUUUGAAGGUUUGGAACCACUAGACCCAAAUCUCCCAUGGGACUACUACCCAAAUGACACUACAGCUGAAGAAGGGUCCAAAGAAGCGGUGGUGGUAUCACCCAUGGAGAAGGAACCACCUUCAACAGAACAACAGCUACCACCACCAUCACCAGUGGUUGACAAAGAGAUGUACGCAUCUAAAGAAAUGGUGGUGGUAUCACCCACGAAAAAGGAUCCAUCUCCAGCAGAACAACAACUACCACCAUUGUCACCUGUGAUAGAUGAAGAGAUAGAUGCAUCUGAGGAUGCAGUGGUGAUAUCACAGGUGAAGAAUGAACUGUCGCCUGUGGUUGAUCAAGAGAUAGAUAGAUCUGAAGAAACAGCAGUGGUAUCAACGACGAAGAAUGAACUACCACCUGUGGUUGAUCAAGCGAUAGAUGCAUCUGAAGAAGAAGUGGUGGUGUCAUCCAUGAAGAAUAUACUAUCACCAGUGGUUGAUCAACAGAUAGAUGCAUCUGAAGUGAUGGAGGUAUCAUCCGUAGAGAAGGAACCAACUUCAGCAGAACAACAACUGCCACCAGUGUCACCUGUGGUUGACAAAAAGAAAGAUGCAUCAGGUUCAAGGUCUAGAGGGAGGCCAAAACGUGAGCUAAAAUGGCCAGAUUGGUUGCCACGUGACUGGCACAUACAAACGAAGAAAAGAAAAUCAGGGCAGAUUGAUAAGGAAAAUAAACUUGUCGCUAUCUUCUCUGGGCGAGCGGUCUAUUCUGGAGGUCCAUUGGUGCAAGCCUUUUCCCUCCUAGAUCAAGCUUAACGUUGAUGGGUGUUCACUUGGGAAUCCGGGUAGAGCAGGAGCUGGAGGAAUUUUCAGAGACCAUGAAGGUAGGAAAAUUUGGUGCUACAAACUCUUCUUGGGAAUUUCUACAAGUUUUUUGGCUGAAGUUUGGAGCAUCAUCAAGGGUAUGUGGCUUGCCUUCGAGAUGAACAUUCAGCGCUUGUGGAUUGAGUCUGACUCAUUUGCUGUGUUUUUCCAAGAUCCAACUCUUCUCCACAAAUUCAAAUCUAAGAAGUAUGUUCUUGAAUUUCUUAAUAAACAAAAGGAGUCAGAUGUGGUGGAGUAAGGGCAUCUGCUGAGCUUUCAUAUAGGGGCGUUUUAGUUGAUGAGGACAUAUCAGUCUCUUCUUGGAGGGGAAUCUAUUGCCUAAUAAUUUAGAGUUUCAUUUCGUUUACAUUUGAAUGAGUUGUCGAAUAUCGGUAGUUAUUUAAGAAUUUAUUUCAUUUUAAUUUGAACCAGAUGCAGAAUUUUGGUAGCCGUUUAGGAUUUUAUUUUGUUUUAAUUUGAACCAGUUGUAGAAUGUUAGUAGUCAUGUAAGAAUUUAUCCCAUUUUAAUUUGAAUCAAUUGCAGAAUAUUGAUUUGA